UGAGGGGUAGCUAUGUGAGAAGUGUUAUAUUUACGCUAUAAUGAAAUUUGUUUGACUCAAAUCUCCUUAA
rnacentral:tRNA from 1 species